GCACCUUUGGUGUAGUGGUAACAUUUCUCCCUUCCAAGGAGAAGCCCCGGUUUCAAUUACCGGAAGGUGCA
rnacentral:tRNA from 2 species